GUGGGGAAUAUUGGUCAAUGGGCGCGAGCCUGAACCAGCCAAGUAGCGUGCAGGAUGACGGCCCUAUGGGUUGUAAACUGCUUUUAUGCGGGGAUAAAGUGAGGGACGUGUCCCUUUUUGUAGGUACCGCAUGAAUAAGGACCGGCUAAUUCCGUGCCAGCAGCCGCGGUAAUACGGAAGGUCCGGGCGUUAUCCGGAUUUAUUGGGUUUAAAGGGAGCGCAGGCUGAAGGUUAAGCGUGACGUGAAAUGUAGCCGCUCAACGGCUGAACUGCGUCGCGAACUGGCUUUCUUGAGUGAGUACGACGUCAGCGGAAUUCGUGGUGUAGCGGUGAAAUGCUUAGAUAUCACGAAGAACCCCGAUUGCGAAGGCAGCUGACGAGUCCUUUACUGACGCUAAAGCUCGAAGGUGCGGGUAUCGAACAGG
rnacentral:rRNA from 1 species